ACGUAGGUGGCAAGCGUUAUCCGGAUUUACUGGGUGUAAAGGGCGAGUAGGCGGGAUUGCAAGUCAGAUGUGAAAACUAUGGGCUCAACCCAUAGACUGCAUUUGAAACUGCAGUUCUUGAGUGAUGGAGAGGCAGGCGGAAUUCCCGGUGUAGCGGUGGAAUGCGUAGAUAUCGGGAGGAACACCAGUGGCGAAGGCGGCCUGCUGGACAUUAACUGACGCUGAGGCGCGAAAGCGUGGGGAGCAAACAG
rnacentral:rRNA from 1 species